ACCGGGGCUACCCAUUUAAAAACAUGACUGAUGACUCCCCUCACAAACCCCUCAAACCAACAAGAUGCAAGGUACAACCAAGCCCACGCACGCACAAGAACAACAGUGGAGCGCACCAUAGGCCUGCUGAAAGGGCAUUGGCUGUGCUUGUCUGGGACAGGAGGCACAUGCAAUACCAGCCUAGGUUAGCUACAUUGUCAAGGCUUGCAGUGUGCUCCACAACAUUGUAAUCAAAAAUGGCAUUCCACUGAAUGAUCUACCCAGACCCGGUGAUCCCAUGCCUGACAGGGAGUGUUUCCCACCACCCAUAACCCUGGCACUGAGGACCAGAGUCAAUAUCAUACAAAGGACUGCGUCAGUCAAAACAUGCGGUGCAGCUGAAGCGCUCGCCAAAGAGGACACCCUUCUGGUAGGCCUGGGGAUGAGGAGUCAGGAAAAUCACCCACAUCGGUCAAGAUUUCAUGUUUUGUUAUUUUUGUUAUAUAUUUGUUAUAUUUAUUGUCAAGAAAAAAUAUUUCGAUGGGGUCCAUG